rnacentral:lncRNA from 1 species
UUCCUGUGAGAUGCAGUUCUUCAUUUUUUGGAGGUGGAGACUGGAACAAUUCUUCAUGCUUUCAAGUUGAGGCUGGUGAAGAAUCUCCUGACUGAACCUGAGACCCUGUUUUCCUGGUGAGGUUGAUAAAGAAUCUGCUGACUGAACUGACACGUGAUGAGUGAAAGGCUGACUCUUAACUGCUGUUUUUUUCUCUGAAAAGACCAGCGUUAGGGAAGACCCACUCUUGAGAGAAGCUUCCCUGGGUCUUCAACUUUGUCAAGAUGAGAAAACUGAAGCAAAUAAGUUAGGAAUGGGAAAAUGGCUUUUCCACAAGGCAGAAAUAUUUACCUUCCCUGGCAUCCUGGGCUAAACUGAGUUAAACAUUCAAGGAAUGGGAUGGUGGAAACUCUAGGAGUUUCCUAAGCAAAAGAAAUGUCAGGAGGUGAAUACAGGGAAUGGAAAAAGAGGUGUGGC